GCCAGACUCCUACGGGAGGCAGCAGUGGGGAAUAUUGCACAAUGGGGGAAACCCUGAUGCAGCGACGCCGCGUGAGUGAAGAAGUAUUUCGGUAUGUAAAGCUCUAUCAGCAGGAACGAGACAAGACGGUACCUGACUAAGAAGCCCCGGCUAACUACGUGCCAGCAGCCGCGGUAAUACGUAGGGGGCAAGCGUUAUCCGGAAUCACUGGGUGUAAAGGGAGCGUAGACGGUUGAGCAAGCCUGAAGUGAAAGGCGGGGGCCCAACCCCCGGACUGCUUUGGGAACUGUACGGCUGGAGUGCAGGAGAGGUAAGUGGAAUUCCUAGUGUAGCGGUGAAAUGCGUAGAUAUUAGGAGGAACACCAGUGGCGAAGGCGGCUUACUGGACUGUAACUGACGUUGAGGCUCGAAAGCGUGGGGAGCAAACAGGAUUAGAUACCCUCGUA
rnacentral:rRNA from 1 species